rnacentral:rRNA from 1 species
UACGUAGGGUCCGAGCGUUGUCCGGAAUUAUUGGGCGUAAAGAGCUCGUAGGCGGCUUGUCACGUCGGGUGUGAAAGCCCGGGGCUUAACCCCGGGUCUGCAUUCGAUACGGGCAGACUAGAGUGUGGUAGGGGAGACUGGAAUUCCUGGUGUAGCGGUGGAAUGCGCAGAUAUCAGGAGGAACACCGAUGGGCGAAGGCAGGUCUCUGGGCCACUACUGACGCUGAGAAGCGAAAGCAUGGGGGAGCGAACAGG